UGAGCCAACUUUUUAUUUAAUUUUAAUUUGCAUUAAAUGGAAAAGAUCACAAUCUCAAAUAUUAUAUCCUUACGUAUAUGCCCUAAGCUAACUUCAUACUAAAUAAUUAUUCAGUGGAUUCUGCAGAGCAGUAACACCUGUGCCCAAAAUCAGGGAAUCAUAUGGCAUCUCAAAUACAUACAGCAGCAAAGCUGCUGUCUUUUAACUUCUGCUCUUCAGAUUCAUUUUUAUGCCUCAACCAGUUUAAUUAAAUGAUUUUUUUUGAUAGUGUCACCUGAUGGAGAAGACAAUAAGCAGUAGUUGUGUUGCUGAUUAUGAGAAGUGGAGAGAGGUCUUAACGUGCCUGAUGGCCUAAUGCAUGGAGCAGUGACUAGACCUGUGAAGCAGUUAAUAUAUUUGACUAACACCUUUUAGUUAUGAACCAGCUCUGAUCUUGGAAAAUAAACUUUCUCAAAUGAUGAGACCAGCCUUUUAAAGGGAGACCAGGACACAUGUGAAAUAUGGAAUCAAAAAGGUGCACAGAACAUUGACGAAAUAAGCAAAUUGUGCUCAGACAUGGAUCAGGAUCUGAAGAAAGGAGGAGGCAUUUGGCGUUUAUUUCCCCUAAGGGUACUGCUGCAUGUGGUGUGUGCAUCGAUGAAGCAGCCAAGGACCUAUCCAGUGCUGAGGUGUUUCCAUGUGAUAUGGCCUCUGUGAACUCCUCAUCGGCAUCCUACUUCAGUCAGCUGUCUGCUCAGCCCACCUUAUAUAGGCGAUGACUUAGGGAGAAGAAUGUCCAUGGCUUGACUUGUAGUGUUCUGGUGUCUUCUGUCACAAAAGCAGAUGAUGUGUUCAGGUAACCUGAGCUUUCCAGAGACCUAUAAAGUUUAGCUGGAUCCAAACUGAGAAGAGAUGGAGAUUUGUAAAGAGGAUAUUGCAGAAGCAUGAAUUCAUGCUGAGGUACUAUAUUCUCCAAAACUCAAGGAAGAUUUGUUAAAACAGCAGCUCGGGUUGGAAAAUUCUCCAGAGAGAAACUGUAUGAGUGAAAUGAAACACCGAUUAUUGCCUUAAUGUUUAUUUAAUUAGCCAUUUCUAUAACCACGUAAUUGUUUUAAUAGUCAUUUUAAUAGUUUGGUCUAGCGUUAAGUAAACUGAAAAGAGGAAGGAUGUUAAUCCUUAAGAAUAAUCAAUAUUUUAUUUUAAGAACCAACAUCACACCUUCUAUUUGUCUUCCAGGACCUCAGCUAUAGGCUGAUAUAUAGUUUGUCUUCUGGUGGUUGUAUUUGUUUGGUUUAGUCUUCUUUGUUGUUCUGGCUCACAAAAAGGUUUCUAUUGACAGACAAUAAAUGGUCUUGUGGAAAAGACAUGCAUUUGGGAUUUCGAAGAUCUACCCUUAGCUCUUAGCUCAGUGCCAGCAUUCCUUGAAAUCACUUAAUCUGGAUGCACUCCCCAUCUGGUUCUGCUUUUCUAGGUGCUAAGCAUUUGUGGCCCUUUGUGAAUACAGACUAAUACAGAGUAUUCCAGGUGUUAAUCAGAGCCUCUUGUUGCUGUUAAAACACACAUGCCAAUGAAAUUAAUUCCUGGUUUAUGUCUUUAAGUGAUUAGAUCUUAAUUAUAUGCAAUUGUGUAUUUUUCAUUUGUAAGGAAUGGUGUGGAAUGAAUGUGUUCCUCCUGUACAGAAAACUGAUUAAAUAAGCGUGACGGGAAUGAUUUAAGAAGCGGCAAGCUUACAAAGGACUGGUAGGAAGGAGCAGAGUUUUGAGUCCCCCAUCUACCUGCCUGUGCCCCCAUGACUUGGCAGGUUCAUUCUCCAGCCACAGCAGCCCAAACAGCUGUUCCCAGGCCUAUGGUUGAGCGCUGCUCACUGGAGUGUCACCUUAGACAAGGUUGGGUUGGAAUGAAAGUUGUUAGUUAUGAAUUAAAACAACCAUUAAUGAUGAGUCUCAAAGAGUUUAUUCUCUUGGUUGGAAAGGUUGAAGCUCCACUUUCAUGGAUUCAUUAGAGAAAAAUGCCUUUUUGUCUUAUGUAAAUCAAUAAACCUCUCGUUGUAGCAGUUGUUUGCAUUCUUGUCAAGUAAUGGGGAAUGGCAGCUUCUAAAAUCACUGUCCACAUUAAUGUUGCUGUCCAAAUAAUGUUACUGUUAGAAACAGAGAAUAGCAAUUCUGUUCUAAAUUAACCUGUGAGAUCAAUUGUGUCCAUCACUUUCAGGCUUUUGUGCCAGCACCAGCUGGUUCUGAAUGAUCUUUCUUACUGAGGAUCACUUUUGUUCAUCACAAUUAGAGGAAACUGAGCCCUGGUUAAAGACUCAGGAAUCCUAUUUUAUUUUUUUUUAAUAUCAAAUGUAAGAUGAGUCAAAAUACGCCCUUUAAAAUGACCAUGAAAUUCUUUGAUCCAGAGUUAAAAGAUCAAGACAAAACUUUUAAGCCUGCAAAUGUUCAGGAAUUGUUCACAGGGACAAACUGAUGGUUUUUCUUCACUGUCAACACAAACGAUGUAAUGAAAAGCAAUUUUGGUAAACAGCAUUUGUCACUGUUUCUCCAUUUUCUUUGUUUAAUGAUAAUGAUUUAAUAAAAUAUUUAAUUGGCAUGAAUAAUUAACUGAUUUGGAAAUGCACU